rnacentral:rRNA from 1 species
AACGAACGCUGGCGGCAUGCCUAACACAUGCAAGUCGAACGAGACCUUCGGGUCUUGUGGCGCACGGGUGCGUAACGCGUGGGAACCUGCCCUUAGGUUCGGAAUACCUCCCCGAAAGGGGUGCUAAUACCGGAUAAUGUCUUCGGACCAAAGAUUUAUCGCCUUUGGAUGGGCCCGCGUUGGAUUAGCUAGUUGGUAGGGUAAAAGCCUACCAAGGCGACGAUCCAUAGCUGGUCUGAGAGGAUGAUCAGCCACACUGGGACUGAGACACGGCCCAGACUCCUACGGGAGGGAGGAGUGGGGAAUAGUGGAAAAGGGACGAAAGACUGAACCAGCAAGGCCGGGUAAGUGAUGAAGGCCGUAGGGUUGUAAAGCUCUUUUAACCGGGAUGAUAAUGACAGUACCGGGAGAAUAAGCUCCGGCUAACUCCGUG